CAAUAGCGUAUAUUAAAGUUGUUGCGGUAAAAAAGCUCGUAGUUGGAUUUCUGUUGAGAGCGACCGGUCCAUACCAUGUAUGCGUAUCUGGCUUGCUCUCGGCAUCCUCUCGAUAGACGUUACUGCGCUUGAUUGCGUGGUGCGGAUCUCGGGACUUUUACUUUGAGGAAAUUAGAGUGUUCACGGCAGGCUUUCGCCAGAAUACAUUAGCAUGGAAUAAUACUAUAGGAUCUUGGUUCUAUUUUGUUGGUUUCUAGAAUUGAGAUAAUGAUUAAUAGGGACAAUUGGGGGCAUUCGUAUCAACACGUCAGAGGUUGAAUUCUUGGAUUGUGUUGCGACGAACUACUGCGAAAGCAUUUGCCAAGGAUGUUUUCAUUGA
rnacentral:rRNA from 1 species